rnacentral:rRNA from 1 species
UACGAAGGGGGGCUAGCGUUGCUCGGAAUCACUGGGCGUAAAGCGCACGUAGGCGGCUUGUUAAGUCAGGGGUGAAAUCCUGGAGCUCAACUCCAGAACUGCCUUUGAUACUGGCGAGCUUGAGUUCGGGAGAGGUGAGUGGAACUGCGAGUGUAGAGGUGAAAUUCGUAGAUAUUCGCAAGAACACCAGUGGCGAAGGCGGCUCACUGGCCCGAUACUGAC